AGCAAAUCGUUCCCGAUGAUCUCGGGAUGCCCAGUCACAUCCCCUUGCAACAGAUCCGGGCCAGCCUCCCCCAGAAGCACAUCAUCCCCACCACCGCCUGCGAGGCCGUCAUGCCCCUCGCCCCCUUCCAGCCAGUCUUGCCCCAGGAGCGCAGGCAGAUCCGGAUCAUCGCCAUACAGCAGAUCGUCCGCAGCGCCCCCCACAACGUGAUCAUUCCCCGCCCCUCCGCGCGCGCCAUCCGGGCCAUCCUCGCCGAG
rnacentral:misc_RNA from 1 species